rnacentral:lncRNA from 1 species
GAUUCUGGAAUAAAGGUGGAGGAGACAGGUUGAAGACAAGAUUGAAGAAGCAAUUGAACCAGUAAACGGGGGAGGGGAGCCGUAAGGAGUUAAAGAGGGUGACCUCGGGUGGGCCUUCCAGCCCUGGGAUGGAGGAUUCUGUAGAUUGAUGAGGAAGAUGUGAAUCCUGCUCCCACUCUAUAGACGGGCAAGCGUGCAAGGAACAGGCGAAGUGGGAAAAGGGGGAGUAGAGGCAGGAAGAUGAAUGAGGAUUCCCUGCCUCUCCCUGCCCAGCAUCCUUCCCACUCUCUGCCUCAGAGGACUGCAGCCAGCCCAGGCUAGGGCUGAUGACACGAACACGAGGAACCUGGCUGCUCCCUGAUUGCCCCCUCAAGACUCUUUGGUGUGUAGUUAUUGAGGGCUUGGGGAGGAGGUUUAAGGAAUAUCUGUCGGCAAGUGUGUAUGUUUAAGAGUGGGGGGCCCCUGAUGUGUGUGUGCGUGUGGGUUGCGGGGGCAUAGCCAAGUGGCUGGCAGCUCAUCCUAGCACGUGCAUAUAGGUGUUGAGGUGCACCUAUGCAAGGUGUGAGCCAGGUGUGUGAGGGAAUCUGGGAGCACAGUUAAGAAGAGGUGAAAGAGAUGAGCGAGGAGUAAUGGGAUCAGGUUAAGAGGUGUGGAAGGGGGCAGAGGGGAGUGUAGGGGACAAGGGGUGACAGGAUCAGAGGAGGGGGUUGCAUAAGAUGGAACAGGUGAGGGGCUCAUCAUGACAGGUGAUGAGGGGACAGGACCAUGAGAAGGAUUUCUGGGCACAGUUGAAGGGCUGAGGAAGUAGGUAAGGAGGCUGGUGGGAGGAAUGCAGGCACCGAGGACAAGAGAGGUUAUGGAGACAGCUGGGAACGGCUGUCAGGAAUGACAGGAGAGUGAAACCCUGGGGAUGGGGACAGAGGUGCUUAAUACAGAAAAAGACUAGAACUCCAGACAUUUCCCACUUUCAAAAAAUUGGCCUCCUUGGAGUUCCUGCCGUGGCGCAGUGGUUAACGAAUCCGACUAGGAACCAUGAGGUUGCGGGUUCGGUCCCUGCCCUUGCUCAGUGGGUUAAGGAUCUGGUGUUGCCGUGAGCUGUGGUGUAGGUUGCAGAUGCGGCUCGGAUCCUGUGUUGCUGUGGCUCUGGCGUAGGCCGGCGGCUGCAGCUCCGAUUCAACCCCUAGCCUGGGAACCUCCAUGUG